rfam:Hordeum vulgare subsp. vulgare, WGS project CAJW01000000 data, contig: morex_contig_1578326
CUUAUACUUCCUCUGUCUCAAAAUUCUUGUCUUAACUUUGUUUAGAAAUGGAUGUAUCUAAAUGCUAAAACUUGACUAGAUACAUUCAUAUCUAAACAAAUUUAAGACAAGAAUUUUGAGACGGAGGAAGUAUUUA